UACGUAGGGUGCGAGCGUUGUCCGGAAUUAUUGGGCGUAAAGAGCUCGUAGGCGGUGUGUCGCGUCGGCCGUGAAAACCUGCAGCUUAACUGUGGGCGUGCGGUCGAUACGGGCAUCACUGGAGUUCGGCAGGGGAGACUGGAAUUCCUGGUGUAGCGGUGAAAUGCGCAGAUAUCAGGAGGAACACCGGUGGCGAAGGCGCCACUCUGGGCCGAAACUGACGCUGAGGAGCGAAAGCGUGGGUAGCAAACAGG
rnacentral:rRNA from 1 species